AACUAUACUUGAUCAGGUUGAAGUCAGGGGAAACCCUGAUGGAAGACCGAAACAGUUCUGACGUGCAAAUCGAUUGUCAAAAUUGAGUAUAGGGGCGAAAGACCAAUCGAACCAUCUAGUAGCUGGUUCCCUCCGAAGUUUCCCUCAGGAUAGCUGGUGCAUUUAGAAAUUAUGUAAAAUAAUCUUAUCUGGUAAAGCGAAUGAUUAGAGGCCUUAGGGUCGAAACGACCUUAACCUAUUCUCAAACUUUAAAUGGGUAAGAACCUCACCUUUCUUGGUAUGAAGGUUGUGGUUGUGAUAUAAUGUGCCCAGUGGGCCACUUUUGGUAAGCAGAACUGGCGCUGUGGGAUGAACCAAACGUAAUGUUACGGUGCCCAAAUUAACAACUCAUGCAGAUACCAUGAAAGGCGUUGGUUGCUUAAAACAGCA
rnacentral:rRNA from 1 species